GAUGAACGCUGGCGGCGUGCUUAACACAUGCAAGUCGAACGGAAAGGCCCAAGCUUGCUUGGGUACUCGAGUGGCGAACGGGUGAGUAACACGUGGGUGAUCUGCCCUGCACUUCGGGAUAAGCCUGGGAAACUGGGUCUAAUACCGGAUAGGACCACUUCUUGGAUGUUGUGGUGGAAAGUUUUUUCGGUGUGGGAUGAGCUCGCGGCCUAUCAGCUUGUUGGUGGGGUAAUGGCCUACCAAGGCGUCGACGGGUAGCCGGCCUGAGAGGGUGUACGACCACAUUGGGACUGAGAUACGGCCCAGACGCCGACGGGAGGCAGCAGUGGGGAAGAUUGCACAAUGGGCGCAAGCCGGAUGCAGCGACGCCGCGGGGGGGAUGACGGCCUUCGGGUUGUAAACUCCUUUCGCUAGGGACGAAGCGUUUUGUGACGGUACCUGGAGAAGAAGCACCGGCUAACUACGUG
rnacentral:rRNA from 1 species